AGGGGCCUGUGUGGAUCGCCCCCCAUGUGAAUUUUUUCGCCGAGUCGAGCUCUUCGGGAAUGCAGCUCAAAAUCGGUCCUAAAUUUCAUAUAAAGAUAAAUUCGGCGGGAGCCCGAUCGCGCACAAGUAGAGUGAUCGAAAGAUGAAAAGCACUUUGGAAAGAGACUCACACAGUACGUGAAAUUGUUGAAAGGGAAGCGCUUGCAACCAGACCUGUCCGUAGGUGAUCAGCCGCUGUUUUCAGUGGUGCACUCGCUCUGCGAUCAAGCCAGCAUCGGUUCGGGCGGUCGGAUAAAGGCCUUGGGAAUGUAGCUUCCUUCGGGGAGCCUUAUAGCCCUCGGUGCAAUGCGGCCAGCCGGGACCGAGGACCGCGCUUCGGCUAGGAUGCUGGCGUAAUGGUUGUAAGCGACCCGUCUUGAAACACGGACCAAGGAGUCUAACAUCUAUGCGAGUGUUUGGGUGUCAAACCCAUGCGCGGAAUGAAAGUGAACGGAGGUGAGAACCCUUAAGGGCGCAUCAUCGACCGAUCCAGAUGUCUUCGGAUGGAUUUGAGUAUGAGCAUAGCUGUUGGGACCCGAAAGAUGGUGAACUAUGCCUGAAUAGGGUGAAGCCAGAGGAAACUCUGGUGGAGGCUCGCAGCGGUUCUGACGUGCAAAUCGAUCGUCAAAUUUGGGUAUAGGGGCGAAAGACUAAUCGAUUUCAUGAAGAGGUA
rnacentral:rRNA from 1 species